ACCAUUUUCUCCAUUCCAUGGACAUUUUCCCACCACACCAGUGGCUACUCCCACUUGCACUAGGAGCGCUGUGACACCCCAACUUGUGGGGCAGAGGUCAGGCCCAGAGUGCUGAAGUGCUGAAGCUCCUGUAGAAGGUCCUUCCAUGUGUCUUUCAGAUCCUGGGCUUGGCCUUCUCCAUAACCAUCACCCAGCACAUCCACUGGACUGGGUCUUGCUCUGUCAUCCAGACUGGAGUACAGUGGUGCAACCACGGCUCACUGCAGCCUUGAACUCCUGGGCUCAAGCAAUCCUCCUACCUCAGCCUCCAUAGCAGUCGGGACCACAGAAGUUGCCUGCUUCCCCUUCGCCUUUGCCUUCUGCCAUGAUUAUAAGUUUCCUGAGGCCUCCCAGCCAUGCUUCCUGUUAAGCCUGUGAAACUGUGAGUCAAUUAAACCUCUUCUCUUUAUAAAUUACCCACUCUCAGGUAGUUCUUUUUAGCAGUGUGAAUACAAAUGAAUACACCACCUCUCAAGCAAGUUUUCUAGACAGAACAGUGAAUGAAAUAAUAUGACCGUUUUAUAUUAUAGAAGACAAAA
rnacentral:lncRNA from 10 species